ACUUCUGCAGCACUCAGCCUGCAUGAGGGAAACCCACUGGCACUCAGUCCUUCUAGUGAGUUCCUGUGGAACCCCCAUGGUGGCAUUCUAGUAGGCUCUACCAGCCUGCCAGCCAUCCUCCCAGCCAUCCUCCCAGCCAGCCUCUCCCAGCCAGCCUCCCAGCCAGUCUCCCAGGAGGGAGUUAGGUGUCAUCUCCACAAGCGAUUUUGUUGGCAAGUUCUGUAAGCUCCCAGCUGACAUUCAGGAUGUCUCACAGGCAAUCCAGCAGACAGUAUUCCAGCAAGUUCUGCUGCCCCCCAGUUCCCUUUCUAAAUAACCUCACAGGCAUCCCAGUGGGUGCUUCCUAUUGAGUUUGAGCAGAACUCCAUGGGCAGGCUUCCCAGAGGGCAGCUAACCUCCUGCAAGUUUUGUUUACACCCUAGACACAGUUUUCUGAUGAUCAACCUGGGCCUUUGACACCUCAGUCAACUUUUACACUAUUCAGAGGGCUACAGUCACACCCUUUCUAACAAAGUCUAAAUUAGCCCCUGUUGGAGGUGGGGGAACCCUCUUCCAAAUUUGUUCCUCCCUUGGGUCCUCUGUCUUAGCCCUAGUAGUUGUGACUUUUCCAUAGGGGGAAUACAUUCUACAUCUGUAUUCCUUGGAGUUCCUUCAUUAUCAUUUAAUAAUUCUUUUCAUUGCUUUUUCUGUUCAACUUAUUCUAUAACUUCUGUCUCCUGACUAGAUCCUGACUGAUGUAGCCCAAGACCCAGACAGUUUCAAAAGGAGAGUGCACCAAACGUCAAGGCACAGACAAUCCCAAUUUUACAUAUCAUCAAAAACAAAGAAAAAAGGAAAGGAAAUUUAUUUUAUGAUUCUAGUGCAAUUCACAUUCUCAAUCUAGAUUAGGGCAAUACAUUAAAACACAAUUUCAUGUCCUUCAAUAGGCAAAUCCAUAAAUGAGCUAUGGCACAUCUGACAAUAGGAUGUUAUUCAGUGAUUUAAAAUGUGAGUGUUCAAACCAUUUUUAUAGGGCAGGAAGGACAGCUGCAUAGGUGAAGCAGAGGGGAUUUUUAGAGCAGCAUAAUUGUUGUGUAUGAUACUGUAAUGGUGGAUACAUGCUAUUAUACAUUUACCAAAACCCAGAAAAUGUGCAUCAACAGUGAAUUCCAAUGUAAACUAUAGACUUUUGUGAAUAAUGUAACAAUAUUGGCUCAUCAAUUGUAAUAAAUGUACCGUGCUAAUGCAAGAUGUUAGUAAUAAGGGAAACUGGGGUAGAGUGGAGAGUAUAUGGGAACUCUCUGUAUUUUCUACUCAAUUUUUCUGAAACUUAAAACUGCUCCCCCCCAAAAAAUAAAACACAAUUCCAGACCUAACUUACUUAUGAAUAUAAAGCAUAAAUGCCAACAUGAUGACAUGAUGUUUUUGUUUCUUUAUUUCUUUUUUUUUUUUUUUUGAGAGACAGGAUCUUGCUCUGUCGCCCAGGUUGGAGCGCACUAAUGAGAUCAUAGCUCACUACAGCCUCAACCUCCUGGGUUCAAGCAAUCCUCCCAUUUCAACCUCCCAAGAAGUUGGAACUAAAGGCAUGUGCCACCGCUCCCAGAUUCAGAAACACAUCAAUGAAGUUCAGCACUCAUUUAUGACAAAAACUAUCACAAACCAGCACUGACUGCUGGCUCUUUCCUCCAAACUUCACCUGGUUAAACUACGAAAGAGGAAGGAAAGCACAGAUCUGAGGAUUUCACAGCUAUAACAAAAACAAAUGAACAGAAAGCUGUGAGAAACACAUUGGAAGACAAAAGGUAACUCAUGAUUUAAUGUGGAUGGAAACCAGCAGCAUGGGGUAGGUAAAUGUUAAUGCCACAGCCAGCAAAUAGAAUGGAGGAAAACUGUAUUAUUUUUAAACUUUUAUCAUAGAAUAAUUUUUAAAAGUACAAACAUUAAGAGAAUAGUAUAUGGUAUUCCCUUGUAACCUCCUUCACCCAUGUUCAACUCAUGGAAAAACUUUUUCACUUAUAUUCCACACAUCCCCUACUCAACUUGGAUACUUUUGCCCAACUGACUUCAAAAGGCUACUGUGCACGGGCAUGGUGGCCCAUGCCUGUAAUCCCAACCCUUUGGGAGGCCGAGAUGGGAGGAUUGCUUGAGCUCAGGAAUUCAAGACCAGGCCAAGCAACAUAAUAAGGCCCUGUCUGUACUAGAAAUCAAAAAAAUUAGCCAGGUGUGGUGGUGCAUGUCUGUAGGUAUUCCCAGCUACUCAGGAGGAUGAAGUGAGAGAAUUGCUGGAGCCCAGGAGGUUGAGGCUGCAGUGAGUUGUGAUUGUGCCACUGCACUCCAGCCUGGGCAACAGAGUGAGACCCUGUUUCAAAAAAAAAAGAAGGCUACUGUAGCAUUAAUUUUCAAAUAAUGACUGAGUAAUAGAAAAUCAUAAUCCCAUUUCAUUUAUGAAUGAACAUGACAUGAACAUUUUAAAUAAAAUAUUAGGUAAUAAAAUUUCAUACUUACAUUUAAAAUAAUAUUUUUUAAAUAAUAUGUUUCAUAAUGGAACCUAUCAGUAGCAUAUGACACUGUUGAUUCCUCUCUUUUUCUUCAUUUUCUUUUCUUGGCUUAAAAGCUAUAACUUUCUUUUGAUUCUCCUCCUACCUAAGAAGUUACUCCCUCUCAAGCUUCUUCUUUGGUGUGUCCACACUUUCCCAACUUUUAGCAUUAAAUUUCACCAAGACUGUGUCUCAGACCUCUCCUUUUCUCAAUCUAAACUUAUUUUCCAGGUCAUCUCAACCAUGCUUGCAACUUGAACUACCAUGACUUCCAAAUUUAUAUCUUGACCUUUGACUUGUCCUUAAAUGCGAGACUCAUGUAUGUAAUUCCCUACUUCACAUCUACACUUGAAUAUUUAAUAUACACUUAAGAUAUCCUAAAUCAUAAUUUUGAGCUUCUCUCCUCUACCUGCCCACCACCCCACCAAGCCUUCUGCUCCUGCCCUCUUCAUUUUAUUAAAUAUCAAUUUCAUCCUUAUAGCUGCUCAUACCUACACCCCGAAUAUAUCUAUGAUUCCUCUUUAAUAACCUGUAUCUAAUUCAUCAGAAAUCCUGUUUAACAUAUCUUCAAACAUAUCAAGAAUCAGACCACUUUGCACUACCCCAUAACUACCACUGGUUCAAAACAAUGAUUUCUUAUUUGGAUUAUGCAAAGCCUCUUAACUAAUCUCCUUCAACUCAUAUCACCUCUUAAAACUCUUCUCCCCAUCACAGCUAGAAAGUUUUAUUUUAAAAGUUUUUCAUAGACUUAAUUUUUUAGGGAACUUUUGUGUUCACAGCAAAACUAAAGAGAAAGUAGAGAGUUCCCAUAUAUUUCCUACCACUACACCAAAACAGCUUUCUCCACUAUCAAAAUCCACUCCCCAAACUGGUACAUUUGUUAACAUGGAUGAGCCUACAUUGGCACAUAAUUAUCACCCAAAGUCUAUAGCUUACAUUAUAGUUCACUCUUGGUAUAAAUUGAAUGUGUUUUGACAAAUGUAUAAUGAGCUGCAUCCACCACUAUAGGAUCAUACAGAGUAGUUUCACUGCCGUAAAAGUCUUCUGUGCACUGCCUACUCAUCCUUCUCUUCCAUCUGACCCCUGGAAACCACUGAUCUUCUUACUGUCUCCGUAGUUUUGUCUUUUCAGAGUAUCAUAGAGCUCAAAUCACCCAUUAUGUGCCCUUUCCAGAUUGGUUCCUUUCACUUAGUAUGCAUUUAUUAUUCUUCUAUGUCUUUUCAUGGCUUGACAGCUCAUUUGUUUUUUAGUGCCCAAUAAUAUUCCAUUGCCUGGAUGUACCACAGUUUAUUUUACCAUUCACCUACUGAAAAACAUCUCCUUGCUUCCAAGUUUUGGCAAUUAUGAAUAAAACUACGAUAAAUAUUUGUAUGAAGAUUUUUGUGUGGACAUAGUUUUCAACUCAUUUUAUUAAAUACCAAGAAGCAUGAUUGCUGAAUUAUAUGUGAAGAGGUAUGUUUAAUUUUGUACAAAACUGACAAACUAUCUUUCAGAAUGCGUACACCAUUUUGCAUUCCCACCAGCAAUAAAUUGGAGUUUCUGUUGUUCCAAAUUCUCACCAGCAUUUCAUAGUGUUUGUGUUUUGAAUUUUUACUAUUCUAUUAAUAACAGGUGUGUAAUGGUAUCUCAUUGUUACCUUAAUUUGCAAGCCUCCCUAAUGACGUGUGAUGUUAAACAUAUUUUACAUGUUUGUUUUCCAUCUGUAAAUCUUUGUGAGAUGUCUGUUCAGAUCUUUUGCUCUUUUGUAAUCAUUGUUUCUUUUUAAAUCAUUGAGUUUUAGAGACUCUUUAAAAAUGUAUGUUAGAUCAUUUUACUCCUAUUCUCAAAUAAAAAUAAUGAUCACAUUUAAUCUUCACCAUGAACUGUUCUAAGUGCUAUUCAAAUGGCAUUCCAUCCAUUUUAAGAUGUAUAUUCCUUUUUCUCUUCACUUUAAAAAUAUUUUAAAUUGGGAUGUAUCUCACUGCUGUUGGCCAGGGAGUAGUCAUGAUGUAACUGUCAUUGCCUAUUUAUGCAAAUAAAAACUUGCUAAAGAUGUUGGUGUCAUGGAAGAAAAUCUCAUAGACAAUAAUAAAACAUAAUUUUUAAAAUGUUGCAUCACCAGUGGUCUGAAUGCAAACAAGAAUGAUAUUGGGUAGAAAAAGAAAGACAUAGACAAUCUUAAAUGUAAAAGUUAAAAAAUCCUAAAAGUUACUAAUUGUAAAAAAUAUUUUAAUCAAUUCAUGCAACUUUUAGUUAAGACGUGGAAUGGUGAUGUCAUAGUAUUUUGGGAAAACCCUAAGUAAACCAACCCUCACAAAGGCUGAAACCUAGCAUUGAAUUAUUUCAAUACAUAUUUACAUCAAGUUGAUUCAUCCCUACUCUAUCUGACCACCAGAGAAAAGUAAAUAUCCCCUGGAGAAAGAUAAUAUCAUUCACAAUCUCUCUAACUUUUACAGUCUCUAGAAUGCAAUAAAAAAUUACCAAGCAUGACAGCAGGAAGAAGUAACUAACAGAAAACCUGCAAGUAAUAAAAACAUAGGAAUAAUCAAACAAAAAUAUUAAAAUCAUAUGAUAAACAUGUUCAAGAGAGUAGAGUAAAAGAUAGAGACUAUAUCCCCUGAGAAAUGAAUCAAAUGGGCUGGGUGCCGU
rnacentral:lncRNA from 10 species